rnacentral:lncRNA from 1 species
AAAAAUCUAACCCACCCCAAAAAAAAAAUAGUGCUAGCUUCACCACUACAUGGAUCUAUUUGUAUUUACUUAAUCAUUAACAAUCAAAUGUACCUUAAUUGGACUAUGAUAAUAAUUUAUUGCCUAUAUAGCCUUUACAUCACCAAUUUUUUUUACCAUUUUUCUUUAUAUAUUUUCAUACACUUUCAUUGAUCAAACUCCAUCAAAAUAAGUCAAAUUCAUACUAUUUAAUAUCUAUACAUGUUUUAUCGCCCAUAAAUUUCUUAGUAAAAAUUAUGUCAUAUAGGCAAUUGCUGUUUCACCGCUGGGAACGAGACAUGAUUAUCAACGACGUCGUAAAUUAUUAGAUAAACUUGUAGUCCAUGGCCAGAAUUAAAAAAAAUUGGUUAUCGUACAUUACAAAAUAUUUGGGGUCUCAUUGGAUAACGAUUGGAGUUAAAUAACUUAUCUCUUCCAAAUAUUUAUCCGAUUGUUCCUGCAACAAGUGGUGAUUUUAGUAUGCAUUUCUUGUCAAAUCAGUUUCGGUUACUUGACGGUUCUUCGCAACGCAGCAAAACCCCAUCAUUUGAAUAAGGACUCGGCUACAUUGCGGAAAACCAGUCUUCUUCUUCUUCCUCAAAAGCCCACUGCUGAUUUGAAAAUAUUGGGGUUACUGACUGGUUUUGAUUUUACUUGCUAGGGUUAUGAUUUUGGAAUAAUGAUAACUAAUUUUCCAAAAGUUUUGGGUUGAUGAACGGUGAUCAAUUUCCAAAAAGGUAAGUAACUUUUUUUUAGGGUAAAUGAACUAAUUUUUAUCAAUUUUAUCUUUUUUAUUUAUGUUGACGAUCCUGUUUAACUUGACAAUUAUUUGGCGGGUUCAUGUCUAUAAAAAUUAAUAUUUUUUUUAUGGAUUUUGCUAAGAAUUUUGAGAAGAAAUUUUAUAAUUGGUAUUCUUGUUUGAUAUUGUGAUGUUGUAAUUUUAUUUACAAUAUCAAUAACAUAAAAAAUAUGUGCCGUUGGACCAUAUUAAUGGUAUGCAUUAUCUCUAUUAAUAAAAAAUUUUAAUUAGUUUUAAAAUAAUAUAGCCAAUUAACAAACCGAUAAAAAGGAUGAUUUUAAAUUUAAAAAUAAAAAUAAAAGGAAAUAUGAUAAAAUAUAAUAUCUCAAGUUCUUUUAUUUAAAAUAAAAUUUUUGACAAAUUCUUUUAUUUGAAAUUAAAUUCUUGACGCAUGAAGUAAGUAAUCUUAAUUAUAUAAUACUUAUCUCUUAAUUAAUUAAUUAUCGCUGUAUUAAAUUAUAUAAAAUAAAUGGCUGAGAUUAAACACUUAAAUCUAAGAGUUUUAUGAAAAUACAUAUAGCAUCACAGAGAAAUCUUUCUUUUUUUUUUUUCUAACUUUUCCCAUCCUGAAUUAAUUUUCUCGAUUCCCCAUUGUCUUUAUGUGUCCAUGGCUCGCGUGGAUAUUUUUAUUUUCUUUUUAUGAAAUAUCUUUCCCACGGACCUUGUUUAUUUCGUCAUCAGAAAGUUCAAAUUGGAACCAUCUAUUAUCGACAUACAUAAAUCUAUUCGUAUUUACUUCAUCGUUAAUAAUGAAAUGUACUUUAAUUGGCCUAUCAUAGUAAUAUAUUGCCUAUGUAAUAUUUAUCCAACUAGAGCCAAUAAAAUUUGAUAAGUCCCGAUUACCAGACAUAAAUAAAUGUGUAUAAAUCAUUAAAUUUAACACAAUUAUUAAAUGAGUCAACUUCAGGUUGACAUGAUUUAUUCGUAUCGAUUUAGGGUUAAAGUUUUUUAUUCAUUUACCUAAUUAAUGACACAAUUAUAUUUUCAUUCAAAAUUAAAUUGUAGGUUUUCAUUAUCAAAACUCAAAUAUUGGAUAUGAUUAUUUUUUUUCUUUUGAAAAAGGUUGAACAUAUUCAUGGUGUUUUGUUUAUAAAAUUUUAUAUAGAUUCAAGAAUCAAUAGUGUAAAUGUGUGUGCGCGCGUGCAAGUGUAAUGAAAUAUAAAUAUUUAAUGUAAAUUUUAUUAAAUAUAUAAAUAUUAAGCAGGUUAUUGAGUAACUUAUUUUUUUUUUCCAUGUCCAGUUAGAAUCUUAAUAUUUUGAUUCGAUUAUUAAAUAAGUUGUACUUAGGUCAGCUUAAAUUUAAUAUAACAUGAAGUUGACGCGACACAAACACUACUUAAUGACCCAUUUUGCCACCUCUAUACUCAACUACGUCUUUACUAUUUACUAUUUUCUUCAGAUCUUUUCAUACACUUUCAUUGAUUAGUCUCGAUUAAAUAAGUACAAUUCUUAGUAGAAAUAUCUUCUCCAUCUUUUAUUUGGGUACACUAGGCUAUACAUAUAUUUUAUUGCCAAUAAAUUAUUAAAUAAGUAUCAUGCCUUUAGUCAAUACCAAUUUUAUCACCGGAACAAAACAAAAUUACUAACUGAGGUGGUCCAUCGCCGGAGAUGAAAAUUGGUUAUUUCUUAUUACGUAACAUUUGGUUCUCAUUAGAUGACAAUCGGGUAAAUAUCUCAUCUUUAACUUAUAUUUACCGUUCGGGGUAAAUCAUCAUUCUCAACUUAGCAAAUGGGCUGUCAGAGCAAGGCCCAAUCUAUCCGAUGGCUUCCCUGACACCGGUUAGCAACAGUACAAUUGGUUUCAACACAAAUGCUCAUAUUACACGUGGCGCCCUCAACAUUCGUUUCUUGUCAAAUCCAUGUCUGUCAGUUACGCUUUUCCGUAACAUAGCUAACCCUCGUCACAAUUAUUAAGCUUUUACCAAACACCCAAUAAUUUUUAAUUUUUUUUUUAUAGCUGUUAAUUUUGUUACGCAUCGAUAAUACACACCUAAGUUUCAAACGCCCCUUAAAACCUAUUGGUUUUAAGAUAGUAUAAAAUAAUAAAAUAUCUAUGUAAUACAUCUAUACAUUUAUUUUGAGAAAAAAAAAUCGAUCGAGUUAGUGGCUCCUAUUAAUGGGAAUAAGGAUAAUGAUUGUGUAUUUAAAAACGUUUGUGAGGUGCAUAAAGUAGCAGAACCAAUUAGUUUAUCGCAGAGUAGUUAUUCAGUUUGAUUUAUUUAAUUAUAAUAAGUAUUUUUUUAAUAUUAAUUACGCAUCAAAUUAUUAUAUUGUACAUAUAUUUAUUUACAAUACUAUUAUAACAGACAUUACAUUGAUAUUUACAAUCAGAUAUACGUAACUAGAACUUACAUUAUUACAUUAAAUUCUAUGAAGUACAUAUUCACAGACGAGAGAUGUUCCUGCUUCACUCGCAUUUCACAGGCGAGAAAAACUUAUAAAUAUUUAGCC